rnacentral:tRNA from 1 species
UCCCUGGGGGUCCAGUGGUUAGGACUGUGCACUUCCAAUGCAGGUGAUGCAGGUUCAAUCCCUGGUCGGGGAA